rnacentral:rRNA from 1 species
UACGUAGGGUGCAGGCGUUAAUCGGAAUUACUGGGCGUAAAGCGUGCGCGGGCGGCUCCUUAAGUCAGAUGUGAAAGCCCCGGGCUUAACCUGGGAACUGCGUUUGAAACUGGGGAGCUGGAGUGUAGAAGAGGGGGGUGGAAUUCCAGGUGUAGCAGUGAAAUGCGUAGAUAUCUGGAGGAACACCGAUGGCGAAGGCAGCCCCCUGGGCUAACACUGACGCUCAUGCACGAAAGCGUGGGGAGCAAACAGG